rnacentral:lncRNA from 12 species
ACAAAACAAAACAAAACAAGAAACAGUAUCAUUUACUUGCCAGUAAUUCAGAGGUGUGUUUUUAAAUGUUUGAAGUCUUUUUCUUUUCUCUUUUCUCCAGGAAGCAGAUGACAUCAAUGGUUGCUAUUCAGGAAGCUUUA